CCUACGGGGGGCAGCAGUAGGGAAUCUUUCACAAUGGGCGAAAGCCUGAUGGAGCAACGCCGCGUGCAGGAUGAAGGCCUUCGGGUUGUAAACUGCUUUUAUAAGCGAGAAAUAUGAUGGUAACUUAUGAAUAAGGAUCGGCGAACUACGUGCCAGCAGCCGCGGUCAUACGUAGGAUCCGAGAAUUAUCCGGAGUGACUGGGUGUAAAGAGUUGCGUAGGUGGCAUAAUAAGUAGCGAGUGAAAUCUGGUGGCUCAACCAUUCAGACUAUUAGCUAAACUGGUAAGCUCGAGACCGUUAGAGGUAACUGGAAUUUCUGGUGUAGGAGUGAAAUCCGUAGAUAUUAGAAAGAACACCAAUAGCGUAGGCAGGUUGCUGGGACGGUUCUGACACUAAGGCACGAAAGCGUAGGGAGCAAACGGGAUUAGAUACCCCUGUAGUC
rnacentral:rRNA from 1 species